AGAUCAAAUAGAACAAGUUGUCCUACAACUUCAGGCUGUGCACGCCAUACGCAAGAAGAAGAUUGAUACAUUUGUGAUGGUGCUUUUGUCUCCUGCAUGGACUUGGGCAUUUAUUUAAUACUCAUCAAUAAUGGAAGAUAUUAAAAAGAGAGACUCUAAAAUGGAAUAAGUCGGUGUCAUCUUUUAAAUCCAAAUGAGAGUGUCUGUUGCAAUAGCAAGCGGGGUGGGGAACAUUUUCAUGUUGGAAGGUCGCAUUAAGUUAGCUGUAAUCUAAUAAGGACGCAUCCAAGAUACUUCAAUCAGAUAUACUUCAAAAUGUACAUUAUUUUGUUAAAACAGCACUCAUGACUUACUAAUGUGGCUGUCAGUCGGGGAGGAUUAUUUCGUUGAAUCCUCUUUUACUCUUUGGUAUUUUAAAUAUGUUUAUUUUAAUAAUAAAAGACGAACAAAAACAUAUGAAUAAAAAUAAAAGGAUUUGUUCUACAAAAUUUGGAUUCAUUCAAAAGGCCGCACUUAAUGGCCUAGAAGGCCGCAGGUUCCCCACCCCUGCAUUCGCAGCUUGGCAACUUCUGCACUUAACUGCAAAUACUUUGAACAGCACACAACUCAAAUCUUUAGAAAUGGGCCGUUAGAAAUAAAGACCUUGUUUGUUUGUGUGUUUAUUGUCAGCAAUAAGCAGCAGUGAUCUGAAUGUAUGAAUGAAUAUGUCCCUUAGAGGUUCAUCAGCUUCAUCAGGAACAAUGGGGGUGUCAAUGUGGCAUUUUGCAAAGUUGUUAUAGCUCUACAUUUACCUUACAGAUAGUUAUAAAUCCAAUAACACAUUGCAGUAUGGAAAAGAGCACCUUUUGAGAUUUGUAUUUCAAUUUUAAAAAUUAUUUGCAAUUUUGAGCUUUGCUUCUUAGAUUUGUCUGUUUUCGAUGAACGUUGACUCUUUUUAAAUGUAAAUUUUGCUUCUGUCUCCACAGAUGCUGCUUGACCUCUGCUUCUUUCCGCUCUCUUCGCGUACUUCACCAUUUCAAUAUGCAGUUGGCGGGGAAGAAUCUACCCACCUGUCUCCGAGUUUUUGACGGUGCCACCCAGAUUGGUGGUUGCAUUCGGCCCAUCUACA